rnacentral:rRNA from 1 species
GACGAACGCUGGCGGCGUGCCUAAUACAUGCAAGUAGGACGCAGUUGCGAACGGUUGAGUAACGCGUAGGUAACUACCUAUUAGAGGGGGAUAACUAUUGGAAACGAUAGCUAAUACCGCAUACUAGUAGAUGGACCUGCGUUGUAUUAGCUAGUAGGUAGGGUAAUGGCCUACCUAGGCAACGAUACAUAGCCGACCUGUGAGGGUGAUCGGCCAGACUGGGACUGAUAGACGGCCCAGACUGCUACGGGAGGCAGCGGUAGGGAAUCGUAGGCAAUGGGGGGAACCCUGACCGAGCAACGCCGCGGGAGUGAAGAGGGUUUUCGAAGCGUGAAGCUCUGUUGUUAAGGAAGCGGUACUUGACCAGAAAGGGACGGCUAACUACGUGCCAGCAGCCGCGGUAAUUC